AGGAGGUAAAAAUGCCAA
rnacentral:misc_RNA from 1 species